rnacentral:tRNA from 1 species
GCGCGACUGGUGAAAUUGGCAGACACGCAGGAUUUAGGUUCCUGUAUCGCAAGAUGUGCGGGUUCAAGUCCCGCGCCGCGCACCA